CCAGUGAUAAUAUGGCAGGAGCAUGUGGCGGGCCAGAGGAUAUACCCGAUGAGUCCAUGAGUGUUUUGGAAUGCAGUAGAGUAACAGUCAGUCGUUCUAGUACACCGUGAAUUCGAAGUUAUUCUAAUACCCCAACCAAUUUGGCAAGUACACUAUGUUCCAGCAGGACAAUCAUUCCGACUUUCCUUAGAACACCUUUAUCUGGAGAAGUUCGUUCUAGCAGGUCAACUACUCCUGUCACAGAGAGUAUAUCAAGAAAAGAACAGACUACAGCAUCAGCAAACAAGAUUGACACUUUAACAAAGAAGUCAUCUAAAUGAAAAGGCAACUGGUAAAAGUGCAAGAAAAACAAAUUAAUGUUGAAAAGAAAGUGGAUAUUAUGAUUCAAAUACUACAAUCAAAAACAAAUGAACGAAAAAAGCAAAGCCAAAAGAUUAACGUCCCUGCACAAAUUGCACAAUCAAGAAGGGAUGGUUAUCAGCAGGGUAUUACUGAAAAGGAUUUCAUCUGGAGAAUAAAGAACGAAACUGGCAGUAUUUUAAAAUGUAAUUCUGCAGAGAACAAAGAGAAGUCUGGAUUCAUCAUAGAAUUUGUAAAAGGCCCAAUAUCCUGAUGAAGUGGAGGGUGUUGUUAGAGAAGGGAUAAAGACAAAUUUUGAAUCGUUCAAAGCAAAGAAACGAAGAGACGAAACUGGUAAACCAGAAGAACAUAACAAGAAAAUGGCUGUGUACAGCCAGAUGAAAAUUAAACAACAGAAAAAGGCCCUAAAAGUAAAAGUCCAGUAUACCAGAGGAACAAAAAGAAAAGGGCUCGAAAAGCAGUGGUGCAGAACAUGUCUUAUGAACAAACAGAUUCAUAAGACGAAGGAUCGUUUAUCGUCAGACCUCUGCCUUGGAGGUCUGACGAUGUUGAUAAAUUAGUAAAAAAACUAGGCCAAAAACAUGAUGGUCAACUAACCAAGAGAAGCAGACGGCAGCACCAUAAACGAAAGAUUGGGGCAGUUUCCUCAAGGAUAAAACCAGAAGUCGUGCCAGGACAUGAAUGGGUGUUUAAAUAGUUGAAAAAUAAUGUCAGUGAUUAAACUUUAUUCGUUUUAACGUUUUAAGUAUGCAAGUUUUACCGACCAAAGUAAAUGCUACAUGUAAUUGUUAAUACUGAUUUUUACACAAUUAUUUGUCCCAAACUAAAAUAACAAAAAAUCUGAUAUAUCGUUCUAUUCUUAUAUUAACAUAUUUCAGUCAUCACGAAAUCAAAUAGAUGCGAACAGAAAGAGAAAAAAUACAUCUUCAUGUCGGAUGUCAACAUACCGUCUUCAACAACAACAAGCGGUUCGAAGGAGAACGUUUUUAAUAAAAAAUAGUAAAGAAAAGUGCUUCUUGAAACAACAGUAUUGUCGUAAUGAGCAAAACUAUUUAAAAAUAACACGAACAAUGUACAUUUCAUUGGCAAAACAAAAUAUAAUAACUUUUUUGAUUUGUAACCUAGCAUCACGGAAAAUAAAUGUUAAAAAAAUAUUUUUUUAUAGAAUCUUCAUUUUAAGAAGGAAAAUCUUGUUUUUUUUUAAUAUGGA